rnacentral:lncRNA from 10 species
GCCAGGCAUGGUGGCACAUGCCUGUAAUCUCAGCUACUCAGGAGGCUGAGGCAGGAGAAUCGCUUGAACCCAGGAGGCGGAGGUUGCAGUGAGCCGAGGUCGUGUCACUGCACUCCAGCCUGGAUGACAGAGCGAGACUCCAUCUCAAAAAAAAAAAAGAAACGGAGUCUUGCUCUGUCGCCCAGGCUGGAGUGCAGUGGUGUAAUCUCAGCUCAGUGCAGUCUCUGCCUCAUGGGUUCGAGUGAUUCUCCUGC